rnacentral:rRNA from 1 species
CCUACGGGAGGCAGCAGUGGGGAAUAUUGCGCAAUGGGCGAAAGCCUGACGCAGCGACGCCGCGUGAGGGAUGAAGGUCUUCGGAUCGUAAACCUCUUUCAGCAGGGAAGAACGGUCACUGUGCUAAUCAGCAGUGAAUUGACGGUACCUGCAAAGGUAGCACCGGCUAACUCCGUGCCAGCAGCCGCGGUAAUACGGAAGGUGCGUGCGUUAAUCGUAAUGACUGGGCGUAAAGCGCUCGUAGGCGGUAUGUCAAGUCAAGGGUGAAAUCCCCGGGCUAAACGUGGGAACUGCCUUUGAAACUGGCAAACGUGAGUGUGUGAGAGGAUAGUGGAAGGCCAGGUGGAGGAGUGAAAUCCGUAGAUAUCUGGAGGAACAUCAGUGGCGAAGGCGACUAUCUGGCACAUAACUGACGCUGAGGAGCGAAAGCGUGGGUAGCAAACAGGAUUAGAUACCCGUGUAGUC